UACGAAGGGGGCGAGCGUUGUUCGGAGUUACUGGGCGUAAAGGGUGUGUAGGCGGUUGUUUAAGUUUGGUGUGAAAUCUCCCGGCUCAACUGGGAGGGUGCGCCGAAUACUGAAUGACUUCGAGUGCGGGAGAGGAAAGUGGAAUUCCUGGUGUAGCGGUGAAAUGCGUAGAUAUCAGGAGGAACACCGGUGGUGUAGACGGCUUUCUGGACCGUAACUGACGCUGAGACACGAAAGCGUGGGUAGCAAACAGG
rnacentral:rRNA from 1 species